GCCGCGAUAGCUCAGUCGGCAGAGCACGGCCAUGGUAGGGCCGGGGUCGUGGGUUCGAUUCCCACUCGCGGCUCGA
rnacentral:tRNA from 1 species